GACGAACGCUGGCGGCGUGCUUAACACAUGCAAGUCGAACGGAAAGGCCCUGCUUUUGUGGGGUGCUCGAGUGGCGAACGGGUGAGUAACACGUGAGUAACCUGCCCUUGACUUUGGGAUAACUUCAGGAAACUGGGGCUAAUACCGGAUAGGAGCUCCUGCUGCAUGGUGGGGGUUGGAAAGUUUCGGCGGUUGGGGAUGGACUCGCGGCUUAUCAGCUUGUUGGUGGGGUAGUGGCUUACCAAGGCUUUGACGGGUAGCCGGCCUGAGAGGGUGACCGGCCACAUUGGGACUGAGAUGCGGCCCAGACUCCUACGGGAGGCAGCAGUGGGGGAUAGUGCACAAUGGGCGGAAGCCGGAUGCAGCAACGCCGCGUGCGGGAUGACGGCCUUCGGGUUGUAAACCGCUUUCGCCUGUGACGAAGCGUGAGUGACGGUAAUGGGUAAAGAAGCACCGGCUAACUACGUG
rnacentral:rRNA from 1 species